AUAUAAUCUAAAGCGCCCGAACUUAAGAAAAACUUAAGUUGACGAGGACAGGGUCUAUCGAAGUCUUCGGCGGAUGCCCUGGGGUAUGCCACUAUCCAUAUGGUUUUACAAAACCUAUGAGUGAUUGUAGGGACAAAAAAGACCAAGUGGUAAU
rfam:Sporanaerobacter acetigenes DSM 13106 genome assembly, contig: EJ96DRAFT_scaffold00005.5